rnacentral:rRNA from 1 species
GACGAACGCUGGCGGCGUGCUUAACACAUGCAAGUCGAACGAUGAACCUCGAAAUGAUUUCUUCGGAAUGAUUUUUGAGAGGAUUAGUGGCGAACGGGUGAGUAACGCGUGAGCAACCUGCCUUAGACAAGGGGAUAGCCUCGGGAAACCGUGAUUAAUACCCUAUGAGACUCCACUUACGAGUGUAAGAGAAGUUAAAGCUAUUGCGGUCUAAGAUGGGCUCGCGUCUGAUUAGCUAGUUGGUGAGAUAAAAGCCCACCAAGGCGACGAUCAGUAACCGGCUUGAGAGAGUGAACGGUCACAUUGGAACUGAGACACGGUCCAAACUCCUACGGGAGGCAGCAGUGGGGAAUAUUGCACAAUGGGGGCAACCCUGAUGCAGCGACGCCGCGUGAGCGAUGAAGGAAUUCGUUUCGUAAAGCUCUGUCCUUGGAGAAGAUAAUGACGGUAACCAAGGAGGAAGCACCGGCUAAAUACGUG